UGAACCCUCAUCAUGAACCCUCAUCAUGCAGCCUCAUCAUGAACCCUCAUCAUGAACCCUCAUCAUGCAGCCUCAUCAUGAACCCUCAUCAUGCAGCCUCAUCAUGGAGCCGCAGCCUCAUCAUGCAGCCUCAGCCGAGGGGUUAAAAGAGGAGCUAGAGUGUUCCAGUGGUCUCUUGUUAACGAGGGGCGUGGCUCCGUGUCAAUGGACUCCAGAAUAAAGCCUGUGUCCUGUGGCCUCAUUCGGCCUCUCUGUCCUGUUCUGGCUUGACGCUGCUGAGAGCUGGCUGCGGCUGUUCAGAUUUCCUUCUUUAUGCACUACACAUAGCCUACAUAUUGCUGAUGCGCAUGACACUUUGUUAUCUUUUCUUUAUGCACUACACAUAGCCUACACAUUGCUGAUGCGCAUGACACUUUAUGUUAUCUUUUCUUUAUGCACUACACAUAGCCUACACAUUGCUGAUGCGCAUGACACUUUAUGUUAUCUUUUGUUGCUCUUCGCUUACUGACUUAUGUACAUAUUUGUAAAUAAAUUUAUGAUUAUUAUUUAAACGUUA